CACGUAGGGGGCGAGCGUUGUUCGGAUUCAUUGGGCGUAAAGGGUGCGUAGGCGGUCGCGCAAGUCGGAUGUGAAAUCUUAGGGCUCAACCCUGAAACUGCAUUCGAUACUGCGUGGCUCGAGUACUGGAGAGGAGACUGGAAUUUACGGUGUAGCAGUGAAAUGCGUAGAUAUCGUAAGGAAGACCAGUGGCGAAGGCGAGUCUCUGGACAGUUACUGACGCUGAGGCACGAAGGCCAGGGGAGCAAACGGG
rnacentral:rRNA from 1 species